GACGAACGCUGGCGGCGUGCUUAACACAUGCAAGUCGAACGGAAAGGCCUGCUUUCCCCUGUGGAUUGCGGGUACUCGAGUGGCGAACGGGUGAGUAACACGUGAGUGAUCUGCCCCCAACUUGGGUAUAAGCCUGGGAAACUGGGUCUAAUUCCCGAUAGGACUGCAGGGUGGUGCCUGUGGUGGAAAACGAUUUUCUAGUGGUUGGGGAUGAGCUCGCGGCCUAUCAGCUUGUUGGUGGGGUAAUGGCCUACCAAGGCGGCGACGGGUAGCCGGCCUGAGAGGGUGGACGGCCACAUUGGGACUGAGAUACGGCCCAGACUCCUACGGGAGGCAGCAGUGGGGAAUAUUGCACAAUGGGCGGAAGCCUGAUGCAGCGACGCCGCGUGGGGGAUGACGGCCUUCGGGUUGUAAACUCCUUUCGACCGCGAGGAAGCCACCUGGUUGGAAGGGUGGUGACGGUAGUGGGAGAAGAAGCACCGGCUAACUACGUG
rnacentral:rRNA from 1 species